UACGUAGGGUGCGAGCGUUUGUCCGGAAUUAUUGGGCGUAAAGAGCUUGUAGGCGGUUGUCGCGUCUGCUGUGAAAGUCCGGGGCUCAACUCCGGAUCUGCGGUGGGUACGGGCAGACUAGAGUGAUGUAGGGGAGACUGGAAUUCCUGGUGUAGCGGUGAAAUGCGCAGAUAUCAGGAGGAACACCGGUGGCGAAGGCGGGUCUCUGGGCCGAUACUGACGCUGAGGAGCGAAAGCGUGGGGAGCGAACAGG
rnacentral:rRNA from 1 species